GAAAUGCGAUAAGUAAUGUGAAUUGCAGAAUUCAGUGAAUCAUCGAAUCUUUGAACGCACCUUGCGCUCCUUGGUAUUCCGAGGAGCAUGCCUGUUUGAGUGUCAUUAAAUUCUCAACCUUUAUCAGCUUUUGCUGAUGAUGGCUUGGAUAUGGGGGUUUAUUUUGCUGGCUUCUUCACAGAUGGUCAGCUCCCCUUAAAUGCAUUAGCCGGUGCCCCGCGUGGACUGUCUAUUGGUGUGAUAAUUAUCUACGCCGUGGACAUCUGCAAUUAUAUGGGUUUGCGCUGCUUCCAAUCGUCUGUUAACUCAGACAAUACAUGACAAUUUGACCUCAAAUCAGGUAGGACUACCCGCUGAACUUAA
rnacentral:misc_RNA from 1 species